rnacentral:lncRNA from 1 species
UAUGAGCUCGAAAAUGAACAUCACACAGCACAGAUUUGGAGUCCAGAAGUAAACUGGCAAAAGUAUAUGAGGAAAUUCAACAAUACCUUACCAAGGUGGCCAAGUAAACUUAGCUGAAGAAGGAAGCAAAGAUAUUAACAACGCACCAAAGCAUCUUGCUGAGUCAAAGUCCAAGGGGAUAAGAAGUCUCAAGUUAGGACUCUGGAAAAAUUGGAAUCAAGGAACGGAUCACUAUCAGA